rnacentral:snRNA from 1 species
AGCUUUACACAGUGGCAGUAUCAUAGUCAGUAAGGUUUAUCCAAGGCAUGAUUAUUGCUAAUUGAAAACUUUUCCCAAUAAA